rnacentral:rRNA from 1 species
AUUGAACGCUGGCGGCAUGCCUAACACAUGCAAGUCGAGCGGCAGCGGGAAAGUAGCUUGCUACUUUUGCCGGCGAGCGGCGGACGGGUGAGUAAUGCCUGGGGAUCUGCCCAGUCGAGGGGGAUAACUACUGGAAACGGUAGCUAAUACCGCAUACGCCCUACGGGGGAAAGCAGGGGACCUUCGGGCCUUGCGCGAUUGGAUGAACCCAGGGGGGAUUAGCUAGUUGGUGAGGUAAUGGCUCACCAAGGCGACGAUCCCUAGCUGGUCUGGGGGGAUGAUCAGCCACACGGGAACUGAGACACGGUCCAGACUCCUACGGGAGGCAGCAGUGGGGAAUAUUGCACAAUGGGGGAAACCCUGAUGCAGCCAUGCCGCGUGUGUGAAGAAGGCCUUCGGGUUGUAAAGCACUUUCAGCGAGGAGGAAAGGUUGGUAGCUAAUAACUGCCAGCUGUGACGUUACUCGCAGAAGAAGCACCGGCUAACUCCGUGCCAGCCGCCGCCGUAAAAC